rnacentral:rRNA from 1 species
GAUGAACGCUGGCGGCGUGCCUAAUACAUGCAAGUCGAGCGAACAGACGAGGAGCUUGCUCCUCUGACGUUAGCGGCGGACGGGUGAGUAACACGUGGAUAACCUACCUAUAAGACUGGGAUUACUUCGGGAAACCGGAGCUAAUACCGGAUAACAUGUUGAACCGCAUGGUUCAACAGUGAAAGACGGUUUUGCUGUCACUUAUAGAUGGAUCCGCGUCGCAUUAGCUAGUUGGUAAGGUAACGGCUUACCAAGGCAACGAUGCGUAGCCGACCUGAGAGGGUGAUCGGCCACACUGGAACUGAGACACGGUCCAGACUCCUACGGGAGGCAGCAGUAGGGAAUCUUCCGCAAUGGGCGAAAGCCUGACGGAGCAACGCCGCGUGAGUGAAGAAGGUCUUCGGAUCGUAAAACUCUGUUAUUAGGGAAGAACAAAUGUGUAAGUAACUAUGCACGUCUUGACGGUACCUAAUCAGAAAGCCACGGCUAACUACGUG